rnacentral:lncRNA from 1 species
AUGCAGAGAACCUCUGCUGGUCAGGGUUGGUGUGGAGGGAGGCAGGGAGGGAGGGCGGGCAGCCAGAGAUGCCAGUCUGUUCUCAGGAAGAUCAAGAGCUGUGCACAGCACACGUUGAGAAAGCAAGCCACCAGUGUCACUCUACGACAACUCGCUCUUCUCAGCCACCAGUGUCACUCUACGACAACUCGCUCUUCUCAGCCACCAGAGUGUCACUCUACGACAACUCACUCUUCUCAGCCACCAGUGUCACUCUACGACAACUCGCUCUUCUCAGCCACCAGUGUCACUCUACGACAACUCGCUCUUCUCAGCCACCAGUGUCACUCUACGACAACUCGCUCUUCUCAGCCACCAGUGUCACUCUACGACAACUCGCUCUUCUCAGCCACCAGAGUGUCACUCUACGACAACUCGCUCUUCUCAGCCACCAGAGUGUCACUCUACGACAACUCGCUCUUCUCAGCCACCAGAGUGUCACUCUACGACAACUCGCUCUUCUCAGCCACCAGAGUGUCACUCUACGACAACUCGCUCUUCUCAGCCACCAGAGUGUCACUCUACGACAACUCGCUCUUCUCAGCCACCAGAGUGUCACUCUACGACAACUCGCUCUUCUCAGCCACCAGAGUGUCACUCUACGACAACUCGCUCUUCUCAGCCACCAGAGUGUCACUCUACAACACAACUUGGAUCCUAUCCCUGAACUGGUUAAAGCCCUUCUGUGGCUUCUUCAUGUGCUGGAAGGCCAUAUUUCAAAAGAAAUUGUUCAUCUGA